GACGAACGCUGGCGGCGUGCUUAACACAUGCAAGUCGAACGGAAAGGCCCUGCUUUUGUGGGGUGCUCGAGUGGCGAACGGGUGAGUAACACGUGAGUAACCUGCCCUUGACUUUGGGAUAACUUCAGGAAACUGGGGCUAAUACCGGAUAGGAGCUCCUGCUGCAUGGUGGGGGUUGGAAAGUUUCGGCGGUUGGGGAUGGACUCGCGGCUUAUCAGCUUGUUGGUGGGGUAGUGGCUUACCAAGGCUUUGACGGGUAGCCGGCCUGAGAGGGUGACCGGCCACAUGGGGACUAAGAGAGGCCCCAGCCGCCAAUGGGAGGCAGAGGGGGGAAAUAUGACAGAGGGGGGGGACGCGAGAGACGACAGCCCCCGGUGCGGAAUGCGGGCUUUGGGGUGGAAAACCGCUUUCUCAGGAAAGAAGGGGGGAUUGACGGUAAUGGAUAAGAAAGCCCCGGCUAACUACGUG
rnacentral:rRNA from 1 species